rnacentral:rRNA from 1 species
CCUACGGGUGGCAGCAGUGAGGAAUAUUGGUCAAUGGCCGGGAGGCUGAACCAGCCAAGUCGCGUGAGGGAAGACGGCCCUACGGGUUGUAAACCUCUUUUGUCAGGGAGCAAGGUGCAGGUCGGGACCUGCUGUGAGCGUACCUGACGAAAAAGCAUCGGCUAACUCCGUGCCAGCAGCCGCGGUAAUCCGGAGGAUGCGAGCGUUAUCCGGAUUUAUUGGGUUUAAAGGGUGCGCAGGCGGAGGCACAAGUCAGCGGUAAAAUCGCGGGGCUCAACCCCGCUCCACCGUUGAAACUGUGGCCCUUGAGUGCGCGAAGGGUAGGCGGAAUGCGUGGUGUAGCGGUGAAAUGCAUAGAUAUCACGCAGAACCCCGAUUGCGAAGGCAGCCUUCCGGCGCCCUACUGACGCUGAGGCACGAAAGUGCGGGGAUCGAACAGGAUUAGAUACCCUGGUAGUC